AAAUGUGUGAAAAACUGAAAACCAUGUAUAUGAUUCCAAUAAUCAAAUCAAAGUUAGAAGUAAAAGGACAACAUUGGUCUUCAACUGGAAUGAUAUAAUUACUAGGGUGAUCAAGUAUAAGGAAGACCCCAUGUUAGUGGAUUUACUCUGUCUGUACUGUUCGCUCCACGCCCAGUGCUUUGCUAACAUAAAUUCACUUAAGGCAGGAGAAAACAGGAUCUAGUUUUCUAGGGGCAAGACUCAGUGAGCUGAGCUCAUCCCUACAGUACUUUAAUUCUUAGAAAUUUAUUUAUUGUUAUUUAUUUAUUUAUUUUUUGAGAUGGAGUUUCGCUCUUGUUGCUCAGGCUGGAGUGCAGUGGCACGAUCUCGGCUCACCACAACCUUGGCUUCCCAGGUUCAAGUGAUUCUCCUGCCUCAGCCUCCCAAGUAGCUGGGAUUACAGGCAUGCAUCACCAUGCCCAGCUAAUUUUUGUAUUUUUAGUAGAGACGGGGUUUCACCACAUUGGCCAGGUUAGUCUUAAACUCCCGAUCUCAGGUGAUCUGCCCACCUCGGCCUCCCAAAGUGCUGGGAUUACAGGUGUGAGCCACUGCACGUGGCUGAGAAAAAGAAUUUCUUGAAAGCAGCCAGAGGAAAAGAAAAACACAUUACAUACAGGGGAAUGACGUUAAGAAGGACUGCCAGCUUCUCACCUGAAGCAAUGGAGGCCAGAAGGUGAUGAAACAACAUCUUUAAAAUGCUAGGGGAAAAAAAUUUCUGCCAAAAACUCAAUAUGGAGUGAAGGUAUCAUCAAAAAUGGGGCAUAAGGUAAGACGUUUUGAAAUAUCAGGGUGAUAAAACUCAUCAACAGUAGACAUAUAGUACAAAAAAAUAAAGAGUUUGGCUGAAAGAAAAGACAUUAUAUGAAAUUUGGAUCUACUGAGCGGAAGAAAGAGCAUAAGAAAUGAUAAAUGUGCAAAUAAAUAGAAAAGGCUAACUCUUUUCUUUCAUUCUUUCUUUCUUUAGAGACAAAGUCUCACUCUGUCACCCAGGCUGGAGUACAGUGGUGCCAUUAUAGCUCACUGCAGCCUUGAACUUCUUAGAUCAAGUGAUUCUCCUGCCUCUGCCUCCCAAAUAGCUGGAACUACUGGCACACACCACCAGCCCUGGCUAAUUUUUUUUUAUUUUGUAGAGAGAGGAUCUGGCUAUGUUGCCCAGGCUGGUCUCAAACUACUGGCCUCAAGUGAUCCUCUUUUCUCAGCCUACCAAAGUGCUGGGAUUAUAGGCAUGAGCCACCAUACCCUGACUUUUUUUUCUUUCUUAAUUUCUUUUAGAAAGCAACUGAUUGCUGAAAGCAAAUAAUAUUGUAUUAUGGGAUUUUAACAUAUAUAAAAAGCAUAUAUGACAACAAUAACAAAAUAAUGAGGAAAGUAAACAAAAUUAUACUAUUACCAGGUUCUCAAUUUUAUGUGAAGUGGUGCAAUAUUAACUCAGAAUGUACUAAUAAAUUAAGAAUCCAUAUUGUAAUCCCUAAAGCAAGUAUGAAAAUAAUACAAGAGGUAUAGUUAAAAAGCCAGUAGAACAACUAAGAUUGAGUACUAAAAAUAUGUGAUUUACCAAAAAUAAGGAUGAGAAGGAGAAACAAAGGAACAAAAAAUAUUUGAGACUAUUGGAACUUCUACAAAACAGUAGAAUUUAAUUCAACAUACUGAUAAUUAUAUCAGAUGUAAAUGUAUUAAACACAUCCAUUAAAAGGCUGUGACUGUAGACUGAAUGAAAAAGGAAGACCCAGGCCAGGCACAGUGGCUCAUGCCUGUAAUCCCAGCACUUUCAGAGGCCAAGGAGGGUGGAUCGCCUGAGGUCAGAAGUUUGAGACCAGCCUGGUCAACAUGGUAAAACCCUGUUUCUACUAAAAAUACAAAAAUUAGCCAGGCGUGGUGGUAUGUGCCUGUAGCCCCAGCUUCUCAGGAGGCUGAGUCAGGAGAAUCGCUUGAACCUGGGAGGUGGAGGUCACAGUGAGCCGAGAUUGCACCACUGCACUCCAGCCUGGGUGACAGAGUCAGACUCCAUCUCAGAAAAAAAGGAAGACCCACUGUGUGCUGCCUAAAAGAGGCUCACUUUAAAUGGAAAGGCAUAGGUUGAAAAUAAAAGGAUAAGGAAAGAUAUACCAGGUAGACAGUAAGUAUAAAAAAGUAAGAGAGGCUAUGUUAAUGCCAGACAAAUUAGGCUUCAAAACCAGAAAGUAUUAUCAGAAACAAACAGACACAUUUUAUAAUGAUAAAAGGGUUAAGUCCCAGGAGGAUCUAUCAGUCCUAAAUGGCAACAUAGAGAAGCCCUGUCUAUACAAAAAAUUUUAAAAUUAACCAAGUAUAGUGGUGCACACCUAUAGUUGCAGCUGCUCGGGAGGCUGAGGUAGGAGGAUUAUAUGAACCCAGAAUUCAAGGCUGCACUGAGCCAUGAUGAUGCCACUGCACUCCAGCCUGGGCAAGAGAGUGAGACCCUGUCUCAAUAAAAAGUAAACAAACCAACAGAAUUUGAAGAAUUUGAAAAUCACAAUCAAGAAACUUUAAUUACUCAAUUG
ensembl:lncRNA